UUUGCCCCUUGAGGCGGCUGCAUUGUGACUGAUCCUGUCUCUUCUGUGUCAUAAGGUUGCAUAGAGAGUGAGAACGGACUAAGUCUACACUAGUACCCUUUAAUAAUGGGUGCUCAGUGUCAUUUUAUAGUCCUACUGU